GCCGGAAUAGCUCAGUUAGGAGAGCGUUUGACUGAAAUUGUUUACGCAACAAUCAUCUAAAGGCCCCCAGUUCAAUCCUGGGUUCUGGCA
rnacentral:tRNA from 1 species